rnacentral:rRNA from 1 species
ACCUCUGCAAUAGGCGAAAGCCUGACAGGGUUACUCUGAGUGAUACCCGCUAAGGGUAUCUUUUGGCACCUCUAAAAAUGGUGCAGAAUAAGGGGUGGGCAAGUCUGGUGUCAGCCGCCGCGGUAAUACCAGCACCCCGAGUUGUCGGGACGAUUAUUGGGCCUAAAGCAUCCGUAGCCUGUUCUGCAAGUCCUCCGUUAAAUCCACCUGCUCAACGGAUGGGCUGCGGAGGAUACCGCAGAGCUAGGAGGCGGGAGAGGCAAGCGGUACUUAGUGGGUAGGGGUAAAAUCCGUUGAUCCAUUGAAGACCACCAGUGGCGAAGGCGGCUUGCCAGAAUGCGCUCGACGGUGAGGGAUGAAAGCUGGGGGAGCAAACCGGAUUAGAUACCCGGGUAGUCCCAGCUGUAAACGAUGCAGACUCGGUGAUGGACUAGCUUCAUGCUAGUCCAGUGCCGCAGGGAAGCCGUUAAGUCUGCCGCCUGGGUAGUACGGUCGCAAGACUGAAACUUAA